rnacentral:lncRNA from 1 species
GCUUGUAUCUUCUUCACUUACCUCCUCUGUUCAGACCGCUAGACAGAUAUUCGGCGCAAAACCAGCUGUGUCCGUAUCACAGAGGAAGGUUUCCUUGGUUGUUAAGGCUGCAUCAACUCCACCUGCCAAGGUACAUGAUACUACUCUCUAAUUAUUUAACAAACAGUGUGAACUGAACAAUUGUCCGAUCUUGGAUUUGUGUGUUUGGUUUCAGCAAGGAGCAAACAGGCAAUUGUGGUUUGCAUCAUCACAGAGUCUCUCUUACUUGGAUGGCAGGUAAUUCCAAAUAUUUGAUUUUUUUAAAGCUUCAAGACGUGUAGAGUUUAUAGAGAACGAUUCUUAACUGGAGAGUUGUUGUGAUUCUGAAGCUUACCUGGCGACUUCGGAUUCGAUCCGCUUGGUCUUUCAGACCCAGAGGGUACUGGAGGCUUCAUCGAGCCGAGAUGGCUAGCCUACGGAGAGAUCAUCAACGGGAGGUUCGCUAUGUUGGGUGCAGC